rnacentral:rRNA from 1 species
UACGUAGGGUGCAAGCGUUGUCCGGAAUUAUUGGGCGUAAAGAGCGUGUAGGCGGCCCGGUUAGUCCGCUGUGAAAGUCCAGGGCUCAACCCUGGAAUGCCGGUGGAUACUGUCGGGCUAGAGUCCGGAAGGGGCGAGUGGAAUUCCUGGUGUAGCGGUGAAAUGCGCAGAUAUCAGGAGGAACACCAAUGGCGAAGGCAGCUCGCUGGGACGUGACUGACGCUGAGACGCGAAAGCGUGGGGAGCGAACAGG